GUGUUUUGUUGCCGUUUUUGCUUUUUGUAGUCUUUUGUUGACUUUUACCCUCAGAUCAUCGCCAUGGCAAACUGCAAUCUGGCCCGCGUUGUGCUCAUGUUGGUCGGAUUUAUUGUCUUUUUACCAGCAAUCACACUCAACACUCUCUCCAGAUUUGGUGCCAAAUCAGGUGAAUGCUUUCCAGGUGUAUCGAAUCAUCUGGCGGUUUUGUAAACUAUGGUAUGGAGUAAAUAAUGAGCUGUGAUUUGGCUUUGCACAGGUUUGUUCAAGCAGAGCACGGAGGAUGUGAUUCUCAAGUACACAACACCCAUAACUCCUUCUCACUGGACCUUUUUUGUGUGGGAUUUCAUGCAUCUCUGGCUUUUUGCCAUGUUUAUAUACUUUUUAGUUGGGCUCUGCAGAAGGUAAGCAGCAGUUUUUGUGUUUACAUGUAUAAUUUGCAAGUGAUGGCGGCGUUAAAUAGCUUCAGAAACGUGUCUUUUGCUUGAUACUUUCAUCUCACCCUCUUGUAUUGCAUGCAGAAAAUCACUCCACCUUGUCCAGAGGCAAUUUAAUCUUCCUCUGUGCAGUCAUUUUCUCUUUACAUGUUGUAGAUUGCUCUGACGCUGUAUGAAAGAGUCUGAUUAUUUCCCCACAGGCACAAUUUGUUUGCUGCGGUGUGCUUUUUUCCCCUCUCGCACCUAACAAUAUUAUCCUUGCUCCUCGCAGGAGAGCUUAUGGCUGGAUGUACACUACGCCUGCGGUGCUGCCCUAUGGAUUUCACGUCUGUGUUAUUGUCAACUGUUUCUUGAAAAUUGCAUGGCUGUUUCUGUUUGACAGAGAGUAAGUGAACAAGUUCAGGUUGACCAGCCAAACAUGUUCCUCUAUUUUUAAAAACAUGAUUACCAGCUGUAUUUUCUGCUAUGACAGCUACAACCCCUGCUUCUCUGUGUGUGUUUGCAGGGUGUUGCUGCCAGUGCUGAUAACUUCAGCACUAAUGAUGCUCACCGAUUAUAUGAUCCUAUUUUUCUCUUGUCAAGGACUGAAGAUCUAUGGAGCCUGGUUGCACAAAUAUCACAACGCGGACCUCUGGGUCUUCAGAAUACUGGUAAAAGUAUAUCAUAGUCAUUUUCUGUGCUUGAAUGCUAGUUUGUGUGUGUUAAAGCUUGUUAAAACAUUAAUAAUUCACACAUGCUGCAAACAAAAGUGUCCUUUGGAGUAAAGGGCAACAGAUGAUCCAAGGUUCCCGAGUUUGGGUGUAGUAAAGAUUUAAAUAUAGCAUUUUAUAAAGGUCUGCAACACCCAGAGCACAUUUUAAUGGCCUUCAUCAGGGUACAUUUUAACUCUAACUCGCCUUUAAUUUCAUUUACUUCGUUUUCUGGUUCUCAUAUUAUAUUCUUAGCUACAUAUUAACCACGCAGACCUGUUAGCUGAACAAAGCAAACAAGCGUUGCUCCAAAAAUGUCAAAAUCUUCCUUUCAAGUCAUAUUUUAUAAAUUAGUCAAUGGCAUUCAACUCCCACUGCACACUGAUGCAAACUCUAAGGUUAAAUAAGCAAAUCAUUGAUCCAAAAAGCUGCUCCAUCACCCAUUUAUAAAGCGUGAAUCCUCAACAAAAUGCCCAGUCCUAGUGGCUGUGCAAAGUCUGUGCAAAAGGCGACUGCGGUUGAGAUUAAGUGGCUCGAGGCAGACGAGUUAGACCAUAACAAAAACCCCAAGAUUGGUUCUCCUUUCCCUGCUCUUGACAUUAUAGAAGCCACUAUAGACAAGGUCACGUGACAGAGCAGCAUCCUGUACUGUGAACUGUAUCUGUAGCUUAUAGAGAAUCUAACAAAUGCCUCGGGAUUAGGAUAUUGCCAGCUGCCAGAGAAGCUAUGCGGCUUUCAAAUUGGCGGCAUGUUGUGCUGAAACAAUUAGUCCAUCAGCAGACAGCAAAUAGGAACACCAACAGGCACUUAUCAAGCAGAAAAAUCAAACAUGCCUGGUUUCAAAUUCAAUCUUUUCUCCCAUUUACAUAACUGUAAAGUUAAUAUAUUCUGGACUGCUGGUUGAAAAAAACCCAACUCACACUGAGUUCUGGGAAACAGUGAUGGGCGUUUUUCAUUACUGUGUAAGAGAGUAUAGACCAGCCAGCUAAUGAAAAGAUUAAUUUAUGCUAAAAGUAAUAGUUCAUUUCAGACCUUAGCCGCCUGCAUUAAAAAUGGAUCUUUUAAUGAGUUUGUCUGGGUUCAGACAUACUGUACUAUGGGUAAUUUUAUCUUGCCUAAACAGACAUCUGCAUUGCUAAUCAGUCACGCUUUGAAGUCUUCUUUCAUUGUGUUGAAUCAGGUGCAGAACGGAGUGGCGGUACACGCAACAUGGAGCACCCUCACCACCUUGCUGAACCUGACGAUAUACUUACAGCAUCAGACAGAAACACCCAGAUGUGACUGUGCAAUGCUGUCGCUGCUGCUGCUUCUGAUGGAGCUGUUAGCCUGGUGAGCCCGACUCCCUGCUGUGCUCUGUCAUUUCACUGCGUCUCAGGGGACGAGACAUGGGCGGGAAGAAAUCAAAUCCUUUUUCUCCGUCUCCUUCAUUCGCUCCCAGGUUUCUGUUAGAGAACUUCUUUUUUGAUGAGCAUGUGCGUUACAUCGUGACCAUCUACCCCGUGGUGAUCCUGUGGCAGACCGGCAUCCUCAGCAACUCUACCUCUCCCAACAGCAACAUGUUUAUCUUUGCAGCUUUGAUCCUGGCCGUUUCCUGCGUUGUGUUUGUGGCACACAUCGCUCUGGUCAAAUGGAAGCAUCACAAAAGGCCGCUUUACAAAGACAGUGGACUCAGUAUGUCUCCAGUAGAAAUAGCCUUGACACAAAGGAAACUCUUUCUGUGAAUAUUAGCUUAGAGGGUUGAUAUGUUGAUGUUUGUACAGCAGUGGUGAAUGGUUUUACUUGUCACGUUUUUUCAACAGGAUUUUUCAGAACAGAAACAGAGCUAAAAACAAUUGUGCUACUCUUGUAUAAAAAUUAAAUGUACGUUUUUUUAAUAAUAAAGAAAAAGACAGUGAA